GGGCAGAGGGAAGGCAGAAGGAAAGAAGAGUAGGAGGAAGGGAGGGAGGGAUCCAACUUGGUAAUAUGGUUAUUUAUUUCCAUUGUGUAAAACAACUGAGCUGACUGAAUUUUUAAAAAUACAAUAUUGGCUCAUAACCAUAAAGAGCAUCCUGAGGCCCAAGUCCACUUUCCAAGUUUGGCAUGGACCAGCUGUGCAACUUUGGGCAGCCACUUACCCUCUCUAGAUAUACAUUCUUGGAAGUAGAAGAUAUUGUUUCUCAUUACUUCCAACUGUUUUUUUUCUUUAACAGACAAAACUAACUCUUCAUCUGCAAAAUAAAAAAUUUUAACUAAAGGUCUAAUACCCUUCCAGAUCUAACAUUCCAUGAUUUUUAUUCUCAUAAGACUGGUUUUUAUUUAAAACACGCUUUUAUUUUGGAGAAAAUAAAAGUCAAUCCAAAGACUGCUAACCUUAUAUUCCGAGGUUCCAACCUCAAAUCAACAAAUGCUAAAGAUGAUCUCAUAAGGUAGAAACCCACACAUGAAUAGGAACCCUUAAAAUCUCCAUUUUUACUGGGAACUAAUGUUAUAUUAAAACAUGCUGAACCCACUCUUUGCUAAAUUGGUGCAAUUUAAGAUCUUCAGCAACCUUAAAACACCUAGUUAAUCUUAACCCACAAUUAUUCAUUUAUUGCCUAAAUUAUUGUGACUCAUUAAUUCAUGAGAGGGAACCUGUGCUCUCCAGGUCUGAUAUUUCUUGGCCUUUUAAAAUUAAUUCUUUCCCGUUUAGCCCUAGCUAAAUAUUAGCUAGGUGUUAUUUCUUUUAUAUUCAUUUUUUAUGGAUACACAUUUAGUCUUAAAUUCUUCCUGCACGUUUCAGACUCUCAGCCAAUUUUUGAUUUAGCUCCAUUGGGGAUUAUUUGACUAUAAUUUGAUUCAUUUUAUUUCCUCCUUUUCUUACUGAUGAAGAUCUUACUGAUGAUGGAAAGGUCAGCAGGGACAGACAGAAAUACACAGAGGGCUCAAUCAGUGAGCCAGCUCUUCUGGUAUGUGCAAAAAACAGAGACUAGGAGGAUGAGGAAUGGGAGAGAAAAGAUAAACAAAACUCAAGAGAGCAAAAACCCCAACAACUGGAAAUAGAUGAUUUGUUUAACAGCUCUCAUUUUGCAAUUGACCAAAGCUUGUCAAGGAGCUGCCUAGCUUCACACUAUCCUCUUGUCUCUUUCAUUGUUGUCUUGGGUUGCCAUUUGGUAAAUUUGACUAUCUAACACAAUUCUGAUUAGUAAGUCGGAAAUAUACUUUUAUAUUGGGUAGGUGAGAUAAAGAGGGAGGUAUUUAAGGUGUGUAAAGACACGUGGAGAUGCCAGCAUAUCCGUGUGCCUUGAUCAUACCGGUUUUGUGACUGCUUCGGGGUAUUUGCACUUGUUGCUACCUCCCCACCUUCUUCAGGUCUAUACUCAACCAUCGCCUAGUGAGAGCCUUUCUUGCUCACCCUAUCAGAUAUUGCACCCCUCCCCAAAACACCCCAAUCACAGAGCUUUCUAUCCCCUGUCUGUGCCUUACUUUCUUCCCAUCUCUAAUCACUAAUCACUAUUGAUCUGUUUAUUUAUUUACUUAUUUCUUUGUCUCCUGUGGGGAAGAUGUUUUUUUCCAUUUUUCUGGAUUUUUUCCUAUCUUUUAAAUCUUACAGUUCUGAUAUCUAGAACAGCAGGUUCUUAAUAAAUACCUGUUAAAUCAGUGAAUUAAUAUAGCUUGAGGAAGAAACUACCAGGGUAAAGUGUGUCAUGGGAAAGGGGAUCUCUUUUCAAUUAUGAAAUGUGAAGCAGUUGAGUAUUCUAGGUCACCCUAGAAGAUGAGGUGUCUUAUGGCCCCUGGAGGGACGGUCUCCAAAGAUGAGGCUGGACUUCCAGCACAUAGCUGAGUGGCAAUAUCAGUUUCUGUCCACCAGAGAAGGUAUAUUUAACUAAAGCAAAGAUAUGUGCCUUCCUUCUUGUCCCACUGUACAGCAAAUAUUUCUUUCUCCUACUUACCUGGUUGUCAGUGGCUGAACAUUUUCCAGAGCAUGCCAAGCUAUGAUUUGUAGACUUGCAAGAAGCAGUUAUAAUCAUGUGAUUUUUCUAAGUUGGAAGAUGUUCAAAAUAGUAGCUUCCUUUAGGAAAAGGAAGAACUCAGCACAUUGUAUCAAGUAUUAAAUAAUCACCCAGAAGAUGCCAGAAACUCAUCCUGAUAUUUACAGAACUGACAUUUCCUCCAAGGUCUUCAGGAAGCCACUCAUUUAAGUACGUGUGUUCUCUGUGUUUUCUCACGCCAUCAAUUUCCCUGUUUCCUAUUUGGAUUAGAGUGUCUUCAUUUUACAUGAUGCAGCUGCAUUGAGACUCAAAUAUAGCUGUACUAUUUUGAACUCCAGAAGUAUUAAUCCAAUAUUCAAAAUAAGAAAAUAAUUCUUAAUUCAGAGACUUGUCCAAUUUUUCCCCUAGAGAAUUAAUCCAGGGUGUCUUGAUGUAGGUAACAUUAGAUAGGGCAUAUUCCAGAGUUGCUGUGUCUGAUAUGACACUUACAAGAUUCAUGUGGCUACUGAACCCUAGAAAUGUGACCAGUCCAAAUUGAUAUGAGAUGCAAGUAUAAACACACCCUAGAUUUCCAAGACAUCAUUUGAAAAAAGUGACACAUCUCAUUAAUAAUUUUAUACGGUAUUAAUUACAUGUUGAAAGGAUAGAAUUCACUUAAGAAUGAGUUAAAAUAUUCUAUAAAUCUAAUUUCCUUAUUUUUUUAACUUUUUUUAAGGUGACUAUUAGAAUAUUUAAAAUUACAUAUGUGGCUCGCAUUAUAUUUUAUUGGACAGCACUCCUGCAAAUACAUAUAAAAAUGAAACUGUUGGAAACCAAAACCAUUAUCCUUAAUAGAAAUACUGUAAUAAUUUAAAGUUGAGUAGUAAGUACAGAUGUAGUGUUAAGUACAGAUACAAUGCACUGCAUAGAUUAUGCCAUUUGGUAAAAUAUAGGCAAUUUAUUUUUAUGAUAUUGAACUAAUAUGUCUGAGAUUUUCUUUCUGAAAUCUCUCCUCCCAGUCUCAUUUUUCUGCUCCAAUACAUAAUAACCUAUAAAAUACUUUACACCCAAGCUUCAGAAAUAAGAGAGUAAAUAUCUAUAUGAUUCAAGUAUCAUAUAUGUGCCACUUAAACCAUGAAUACUGUAGCCUUUGACUUGGGGACAGCGGAUUAAAUAAACUCCUGUCCAAACAUGUCAAUUGUACUCUUUUUGUUAUAAUAUAAAGAAGUUUUUAAAGCCUGACAAUCUCAGCAUUGUUUUUGGAAUGCCCAUUACUGUUUUGUCUUAUAUAACUUAUCACAGGUUCAAGAAAAUUGACGUUUAUAUUAUGUUAGCCUGGCUACAAAGUAUGUUGACACAUUUAAUAUUCCUAAAUUGGGUAGACUCAAUAUCAAAAGUAAAUAUUUAUCUAAAAUGAGUAAAUGGAGACAACCUGCAUAUCCAAUUGGAAAACACAGCCUAAAUUUUUUUCAUGAAGUUUAGAUUUAAAAAAUCUAUUUGAUGUAAAUUAUUAGUUUACUUCUCUCACCAAACAAGGCAAAAUAUACAAGUGCUUAAUAGGAUCUAUUUUUUUAUCUGUAUUAUCAUCAACACUAGAUAAUAUUUAAAGACUAGAUCAUCACCGAUGCUUCACAAUAUAAAAGGCCCAUUGAGUUUUGCACAGUACAUAGUAAAUACUUAUCGAAUAGAGCAGUCAUUGACUAUUGAUGAAGAACACUUCAUGGUGUGGAACAGUCAUGUUUAAAUCUUCAUUUUAUCUGACUCACUUGAGCCUCAGUUACUCCAAAUAUAAAAUGGGAAUAUAAGAUUUAUUUUAAAGGUUCUUGAUAAGGAUUAAAUAAGAUAAUAUGUCUUAUUUUUAUUGUUAUGUUGACAUUAUUUUUAAUCUGCACUAAGUAGGGGCUGCUAUUUUAGCAUCAGUAUAAUACAGUGAAAUGUGUACAUUUUUGCUUGUUUUCAUAAUAAUGGAUUUCCGUGAUUCUUCCUACCUGGUUAGUUCUCCCAUGACCAACCAUAUUCAUUUGUGAGUUGCUCGUUUAAAGUUGGGAGUGUGGUAUGUGUAAUGUGGUAAUUUUGCUUUGAAUGAAACACAAAUAUAUUUUGAUGUCUAGCCUUAUAGAUAAAAGGCCAUAAUUUUUAAAAGCAAAUCUCAGACACUGUCAUUUUGGUAUGCAUCUCUAAGGUUAAUUAAGGGCGUGGUUCUUAUGUGUCAUGAAGCCAUUAUCCAAUCUGAAAAAUGUAUUUUGGUAUGCAUGUCUAAGAUUAAUUAAGGACAUGAUUCUUAUGUGUUGUGAAGCCAUUAUACAACCUGAAAAAUGUUCCAUAAUCCAUCGGUGUCAUCUAACAACCAAUCCAUAUUAAAAUUUUCCUUAUUUUUGCCCUUUGCCUUUGAUAACCCAAACAGGUUUCAUAAAUAAUAUUUAGUUGUCUCAUCUUUGCAUUCUCCUUUAAUCUACAGCAGUGCUCCCUCCUACCUUUUUAAAAAAUGCUGUUAUUUAGAAAAUUGGGUCAGUUAUAAAAGAUGUACCACAUUCUGGAUUUGUCUCCUUCCCAUGAUAUCAUUUAAUUGUUCCUGUAUCCUAUUUCUGUAAGUGAAAGUUUGCUUUUGAGAGUACUGAUUAUUUAGAUUCAAAUUCAUCAGUUUAUGCAAGAAUAUUAAAUAGGUGAUGCUUGGGCGAUUGUGUUACAUCAUAUUAGAAGCCACACAAUGACUUUUAGUCAGACUAAAAGUCUCGGUGCUGACUUUUACUGAUGCUAAAUGUGACCAAUGGGUUCAGGUGGUGACAGCCUGAUUCCUCCUAAUAAAUUUCCCUAUAAAACUUUCGUACAAUGGUUUCAUCCAUUGAUGCUGAUUCUUUGAACCUAUUAGUUUCAUUAGAAUCAACAAAAUGGGAUUAUUUUCUAUCACUUCUUCGAAAUUAUUAGCUAGAAUUAUUCUUGUGGCAAAAAUGUCCUAUAUUCUUAUUCUUUUGAUCUGCUACUUGUAUCACCUAAAUGGGAUGUAAAGAUCUUGUCUAGAUCCUUGGUCAAAUAAUGUGGCCAUAAAUAAAUUUACAUUUUAAACAUACAGUUUUAAACAAAACCACAAUUCCAUCAUCAUGCCUGAAAUAUUAAUAUUAAUUUAGUGGUAAGCAAAAUAAUGGCCCUCCAAAGAUGCCCAUACCUUAAUCUUCAGAAUCUGUGAAUAUAUUACCUUAAAUAGCAAAAAGGGAUUUACAAGAGUGAUUAAAUUAAGGACCUUGAAAUGUGGAGAUUACCCUGGAUUAUCUGAAUGGGUCCAGUUUAAUCACAUGGGUCUCUAAAAGUUGUGGAACUUUUCCUGCUGCAGUCAGAGGAAGAUGUGACUAUGAAAGAAAGGUGCAUAGAGAUAUAAUAUUGCUGACUGUGAAGAUCGAGGAAGGGAGCUAUGAGCCCAGGAAUGUGGGUGGCCUCUGGAAGUUGGAAAGGGCAAAGAAACUGAUUAUCCUCUUGUGCAGCUCCGCUGAAAUCUUAGUUUGAUAUAACUAAGACAUGUGUUGGACUUCUAAUAUACAGAAAUGUAAUAAAUUUGCAUUAUUUAAAGUCACUAAGAACAAAAAUGGCAAACUAAUAUAAUUUUAAAUAUUAUAAAAUAUAUAGCUUAGUUAAAAUUUCCAAACUUAUACAAACUUUUAUAGCUGUUUUCAUUGAUCCAGACAAUGUAUGCACAAUGUAUUGAGAUAUAAAAUAGAAUGAUUUAAAACAUUAAAAGUGUAGUAUACUUUUGUGGAAAGAGAUGCUUCUUUUAAUUUACCACCCUUACUUUAUAAAGGAGCAAACUAAGGUUUAGAGGUUAGUGACUUGGCCCUAAGACAGUCAUUUCAAAACUUAACAUUACAAUCACUCUUAAAAAUUCAUGAAGGUCAACAGUGGAUUCUGGAAAAGUAGUGACCUUAACUUGGCUUUCUUGCACUUUAUUACUAUAAUUUAUCUGAUUUUCCUAAGGCGAAGAGCUGUUGGUUCCUAUAUGCAAUCAAGUGCUGGUGAAGCCUUGAGCUUUGUGCAAACCCUACAGAAAUAACAGAUACUGAGCUUUCUCUACCAUGAGUAGCAUGAGCCUCUAGAUACCAGUUUUAAAGAAGUCUUUAGGUGGAGACUGGAAAGCUAUGAAUCCUGAAAAGAUGUUUGGGUUGUAGAAAUCUGUGGGCCUUGGUGAUAGGAAGGUGAUAGUAGUUGACAUUAGCCUGCAUGAAUGAAUUGAUUCCUUGCUUACUGGGUAAGGGAGCUGUCUCCUCCUGGUGCCUGAAGGGUAGCUCCUCUGCUUCUCCAUCACUGGCCUAUCUUGUGCCACUCACAGGACUGCUAUCUUCUGUCCAACAAACAGUCUUAAACUCCAAAAAGCCAACAAAGAAAGAUAAAAACAUGUCAAGACUUUUCAGCAGCCUGAGAGAGGAAGCCUGGUCAGAAUAAACAGAGCACAUACCCAGGGAAUAAGUUCCUGAAAUAAUCAGAAAGUAAUUUGAACAACCUUAUGAAAGACCUUACAAAAAGAACUCAGCAAUGUUAGUUGCACAUGGUCAGAAAUUUUGUUCACUAAUGUAUUCCCAGUGCAUAUAACUAUAAGCUGUCUCAGAGGAGACAAUCAGUAAAUACUUGUCAGAUAAAUUAAUCCAUCACAAAAAUAAUAAAGUUAGGCAGAAUAUACCAUGAAAGUGACAGUGGUACAAUAUCAUGAAACCCAUUCACAUAAUCUAUUACACCAAUACAUUAUAAGAGAAUAAAAUAUAUAAUCAUAUCAGUGAGGAAAAGACAUUUAAUAAUAUGCAGCAGCAUUACUAGUAAAAAAGAAAAAACUAUUUAAAUAUAAUUCAAAGUAUUUCCCAAAAUCGAAUACCAAAUAUUAUCCUAAAUGAACACUUGAAAUUGGAUAAUUGACAGAGGUUUUAUUUAUAGAGGACUUGUUGCAAAGUUUAUUUGUAGGAGAGUUACAAAUAAUAGUGGAUGUCUGGAACUUGGGAGUGGCCAAACAGCUAUCACUCUUAGGUUCAAAGCAAUAAGAGGAGAGAGUGGUCACUAGAACUCAGUGGGAGAAAGUUUGUGGAAUACGUCACCCGGUGGAGAAGAAUAAGCUUCUGUUCAGGGACACUUUUAGUUCAAGGUAGUAUUUCAGGGGAAAAUGUCAGGGAAUAAAUACCGAAGUCUUUUCUUCUACCCUCCUCUAAUCUCCUCUGGGGCUCCUCAUUGGCCAAACUCAAUUAGAAGCUAGAAGGCAUGGGCACCUAUUUAUGUAGUUCAUGUGGUCAGUGUCCUAAAGCAGAGAAUAUGUAAAGGGAAAAAUUGAAGAUAAUGGCAUGGAAGUUCUAGCAAAUGCAGUAAAAAAAUGAAAAGAAAUAAAACUUUCCAUAAAAGUAGAAACUAGGAAAUAAAGCUGCCAUUUUUGUUGAUGUUACUAUAUUAAAAAAAAAAAAAACUAUUAGAAU